UACGAAGGGGGCUAGCGUUGCUCGGAAUCACUGGGCGUAAAGCGCACGUAGGCGGAUUGUUAAGUCAGGGGUGAAAUCCUGGAGCUCAACUCCAGAACUGCCUUUGAUACUGGCGAUCUCGAGUCCGGGAGAGGUGAGUGGAACUGCGAGUGUAGAGGUGAAAUUCGUAGAUAUUCGCAAGAACACCAGUGGCGACGGCGGCUCACUGGCCCGGUACUGACGCUGAGACGCGAAAGCGUGGGGAGCAAACAGG
rnacentral:rRNA from 1 species